AUUGAACGCUGGCGGCGUGCCUAAUACAUGCAAGUCGAACGAAGCUGUUUUAACUGGUGCUUGCACCGACUUAAACAACUGAGUGGCGGACGGGUGAGUAACACGUGGGUAACCUGCCCCAAAGCGGGGGAUAACAUUUGGAAACAGAUGCUAAUACCGCAUAACCACAGAAACCACAUGGUUUCUGUGUCAAAGAUGGUUUCGGCUAUCACUUUGGGAUGGACCCGCGGCGUAUUAGCUAGUUGGUAAGGUAAUGGCUUACCAAGGCAAUGAUACGUAGCCGAACUGAGAGGUUGAUCGGCCACAUUGGGACUGAGACACGGCCCAAACUCCUACGGGAGGCAGCAGUAGGGAAUCUUCCACAAUGGACGAAAGUCUGAUGGAGCAACGCCGCGUGAGUGAAGAAGGUUUUCGGAUCGUAAAACUCUGUUGUCAGAGAAGAACGUGUGCGAGAGUAACUGCUCGUGCAGUGACGGUAUCUGGCCAGAAAGCCACGGCUAACUACGUGCCAGCCGCCGCAGUAA
rnacentral:rRNA from 1 species